CUGAAACCGUGUACGUACAAGCAGUGGGAGCACAGAGCAAUCUGUGUGACUGCGUACCUUUUGUAUAAUGGGUCAGCGACUUAUAUUCUGUAGCAAGGUUAACCGAAUAGGGGAGCCGAAGGGAAACCGAGUCUUAACUGGGCGUUAAGUUGCAGGGUAUAGACCCGAAACCCGGUGAUCUAGCCAUGGGCAGGUUGAAGGUUGGGUAACACUAACUGGAGGACCGAACCGACUAAUGUUGAAAAAUUAGCGGAUGACUUGUGGCUGGGGGUGAAAGGCCAAUCAAACCGGGAGAUAGCUGGUUCUCCCCGAAAGCUAUUUAGGUAGCGCCUCGUGAAUUCAUCUCCGGGGGUAGAGCACUGUUUCGGCAAGGGGGUCAUCCCGACUUACCAACCCGAUGCAAACUGCGAAUACCGGAGAAUGUUAUCACGGGAGACACACGGCGGGUGCUAACGUCCGUCGUGAAGAGGGAAACAACCCAGACCGCCAGCUAAGGUCCCAAAGUCAUGGUUAAGUGGGAAACGAUGUGGGAAGGCCCAGACAGCCAGGAUGUUGGCUUAGAAGCAGCCAUCAUUUAAAGAAAGCGUAAUAGCUCACUGGUCGAGUCGGCCUGCGCGGAAGAUGUAACGGGGCUAAACCAUGCACCGAAGCUGCGGCAGCGACACUGUGUGUUGUUGGGUAGGGGAGCGUUCUGUAAGCCUGUGAAGGUGUGCUGUGAGGCAUGCUGGAGGUAUCAGAAGUGCGAAUGCUGACAUAAGUAACGAUAAAGCGGGUGAAAAGCCCGCUCGCCGGAAGACCAAGGGUUCCUGUCCAACGUUAAUCGGGGCAGGGUGAGUCGACCCCUAAGGCGAGGCCGAAAGGCGUAGUCGAUGGGAAACAGGUUAAUAUUCCUGUACUUGGUGUUACUGCGAAGGGGGGACGGAGAAGGCUAUGUUGGCCGGGCGACGGUUGUCCCGGUUUAAGCGUGUAGGCUGGUUUUCCAGGCAAAUCCGGAAAAUCAAGGCUGAGGCGUGAUGACGAGGCACUACGGUGCUGAAGCAACAAAUGCCCUGCUUCCAGGAAAAGCCUCUAAGCAUCAGGUAACAUCAAAUCGUACCCCAAACCGACACAGGUGGUCAGGUAGAGAAUACCAAGGCGCUUGAGAGAACUCGGGUGAAGGAACUAGGCAAAAUGGUGCCGUAACUUCGGGAGAAGGCACGCUGAUAUGUAGGUGAAGUCCCUCGCGGAUGGAGCUGAAAUCAGUCGAAGAUACCAGCUGGCUGCAACUGUUUAUUAAAAACACAGCACUGUGCAAACACGAAAGUGGACGUAUACGGUGUGACGCCUGCCCGGUGCCGGAAGGUUAAUUGAUGGGGUCAGCGCAAGCGAAGCUCUUGAUCGAAGCCCCGGUAAACGGCGGCCGUAACUAUAACGGUCCUAAGGUAGCGAAAUUCCUUGUCGGGUAAGUUCCGACCUGCACGAAUGGCGUAAUGAUGGCCAGGCUGUCUCCACCCGAGACUCAGUGAAAUUGAACUCGCUGUGAAGAUGCAGUGUACCCGCGGCAAGACGGAAAGACCCCGUGAACCUUUACUAUAGCUUGACACUGAACAUUGAGCCUUGAUGUGUAGGAUAGGUGGGAGGCUUUGAAGUGUGGACGCCAGUCUGCAUGGAGCCGACCUUGAAAUACCACCCUUUAAUGUUUGAUG
rnacentral:rRNA from 1 species